rnacentral:rRNA from 1 species
UACGGGGGGAGCAAGCGUUGUUCGGAUUUACUGGGCGUAAAGGGCGCGUAGGCGGCCAGCACAAGUCAGUUGUGAAAUCUCCGAGCUUAACUCGGAAAGGUCAACUGAUACUGUGCGGCUAGAGUGCGGAAGGGGCAACUGGAAUUCUUGGUGUAGCGGUGAAAUGCGCAGAUAUCAGGAAGAACACCCGUGGCGAAGGCAGCUCGCUGGGACGUUACUGACACUAAGGCGCGAAAGCGUGGGGAGCGAACAGG